UACAGGGGGGGCAAGCGUUGUUCGGAAUUACUGGGCGUAAAGGGCCAGUAGGCGGCCAACUAAGUCCGACGUGAAAUCCCCAAGCUUAACUUGGGAACUGCGUCGGAUACUGGAUGGCUUGAAUUCGGGAGAGGGAUGCAGAAUUCCAGGUGUAGCGGUGAAAUGCGUAGAUAUCUGGAGGAAUACCGGUGGCGAAGGCGGGACUCUGGGCCGAUACUGACGCUGAGGAGCGAAAGCGUGGGGAGCAAACAGG
rnacentral:rRNA from 1 species